rnacentral:rRNA from 1 species
UACGUAGGGGGCGAGCGUUGUCCGAAGUUACUGGGCGUAAAGCGCGCGUAGGCGGCUUCUUAAGUCUGAGGUGAAAGGUUCAACGCUUAACGUGAACAGUGCCUUGGAUACUGGGGAGCUUGAGUGUGGCAGAGGAUAGUGGAAUUCCUGGUGUAGCGGUGAAAUGCGUAGAUAUCAGGAGGAACACGCAAGGCGAAGGCAGCUAUCUGGGCUAUCACUGACGCUGAGGUGCGAAAGCGUGGGGAGUGAACGGG